rnacentral:rRNA from 1 species
AGCGAACGCUGGCGGCAGGCCUAACACAUGCAAGUCGAACGAACCCUUCGGGGUUAGUGGCGGACGGGUGAGUAACACGUGGGAACGUGCCUUUAGGUUCGGAAUAACUCAGGGAAACUUGUGCUAAUACCGAAUGUGCCCUUCGGGGGAAAGAUUUAUCGCCUUUAGAGCGGCCCGCGUCUGAUUAGCUAGUUGGUGAGGUAAUGGCUCACCAAGGCUACGAGCAGUAGCUGGUCUGAGAGGAGGACCAGCCACAUUGGCACUGAGACACGGCCCAAACUCCUACGGGAGGCAGCAGUGGGGAAUCUUGCGCAAUGGGCGAAAGCCUGACGCAGCCAUGCCGCGUGGAUGAUGAAGGUCUUAGGAUUGUAAAAUCCUUUCACCGGUGAAGAUAAUGACUGUAGCCGGAGAAGAAGCCCCGGCUAACUUCGUGCCAGCCGCCGCGGUAACAC